AAUGUGAAACCCUUUUCCUGUCUCCUCUGUGGGUUCUACUGACCAAAACUGUGGGGGCACUUGGGUAAUUUCAUGGGGUCACGUCAGGGAUGAGUUGACAGUUUGACCUCUUGUGUGCUAUCAAGAAGAGCAUGUAUAGCUUUGCACUAGGUAUCUAGAGAUAGCCAUUGUGAAAUCACUUUCUUAAGGCCCAGAAUGUUCUUUUUAAAGUGAUGUGUCACUUAGAAAAUGCUGGAAAAAUAUAAGGCUUGUUAAAUUGUUUUAUGUACUUGUUCAUUUACUUUGAUGUUUUAAAGGAAUUUAACCCUUAUCCAUUCCAUUCAAAAUGAAACUAGUUUUUUUAAAAUUGAGUCGUGUGUGUGUGUGUGUGUAUAUAUAUACAUAUAUAUAUAUGUAUAUAUAUAUCAGAAACCUCUUAGCUUCCUUUGGCUUAAGAGUCAUCACUUGGGUAAAAGAGAGAUAGAGGGUCAAGAAGUACUUCACAGGCCCAGAAAAACAGACCACUUUUACUCCCUCCCUUCCCCCCACCCCCACUGGACUUCAUUUCCUUUUAUUGUUCUCCCUGGAGGGCAUCUCUAUUUUCUUGCGUGGACUUUGGUCUUUCUUACAGAAAGAUCUUACCAUGAAGUAUGGCAAAUGUAGAAACUUUAAAGAGAAGCUGAGAGAGUUUUUCCCUUGUCCUUGACCUCCUGAGGUAAGCUCCUCCCUCAGAGUGCCCUUGGGGAAUCCACAAAGGUUAGUGCUGAAUGGAGAAGCUGGCCAGGCCAGUGAUUCGUCCUAUGUGGGUCUAUCUUUGCCUUUUUUUUUUUUUUUAAAGCAGUGAACACUGUGGUUCAGUUUUGUGCACCUCGACCUUGUGAGCUCCAGGCUUUCCUUUAUAGAAACCUUCAAAGGUGGGGGUGGGGGUGGGGUGGGGGGUUGGAUUAAAUAGGAGGUGGAGAUUCAGGAGCACAUCUGUCCCAGUGAGCCCAGGGUGAUCUGUUGAAGUGCUGAAUUACCAUACUGCAUACCUGAAACUAAUACUCCAUUGUGUUACCUGAAAUUAAAAUUAAAACUAAAACAAAUCUAAAACUAAACUAAAAUUAAAUUAAAACAAAAACUCAAAAAAAGUAAAAUAACCUUCAAGGCUCCUCACACCUGCCAUGACUUACGUCAAUGGGAUGCUUCACAGAGGGAAUUAAUUGGAGACAUUUGGCACAUCUGGAGGGAAAAUUAUGAUUAAAUAUACAUUAUUAAAUGUUAAUUAUUAAAUAUUCAAUAUUGUAUAUUAUGUACAAAAUUAUAAAUAAAUAUUAAAUAAUAUUAUAUAUAUAUUAGAGAGGAAGAGCAGGGAGGAGAGGCAGAGGAGGGGGGAGAGAAAAAGAGAGAGACAAAGAGAGAGAGAGACUCUCAAGUAGCCUCCACACAGUGCAAAGCCUGAUAUGGGGCUCGAUCCCAUGUGUUUGGGAUCAUGACCUGAGCCAAACUCAAGAGUUGUGCACUCAACUACCUGAGCUACCGAGGUACCUCAUGGGGUGAACCUAGUUUUGACUUUUAUUUAUUUAUUUACUUACUUACUUAUUUUAGAGAGAGAGAGAGAGAGAGAGCAUGAGCUGGGGAGAAGCGCAGAGGGAGAGAAAGAGAAUCUUAAGCAGGUUCCACACACAGUGUCGAGCCCCAUGCAGGGCUUGAUCCCACAACUCUGGGAUCAUGACCUGAGCCGAAAUCAGUAGUUGGACACUCAACCAACUGAGCCACCCAGGCCCCCCUUGUGUUGACUAUUUAAGUCAAGUAGCAGUCAAAUUAAAUGUAGAAUUCCAGUUAUGCUGUUUUACACCUUUGUAUUCAUAUUGCUUUUUUGAUAGGAGUGGUAUUUUCCUUUCCCCUUUGUGGCCAUGAAGCAUUGAAUAAAAUCUACUUUUUCAGGAAUGUUUUAAAAAUUAUGCCCUUUGCAGAAGUCAUCUAGGGGUUAAUUACAAAAAUGUAGCUCAUUAGUGUUAAGAAAUUACAUGCUGCACAGUUCUAAAUAAUGGUUGGAAUUGAGUAAAAAAAAAGGGGGGGGCGGGGAGAGACGUCACCUUGAGGCUGUUCCCUGUGGGAAAUACCAAGUAGGCCUAAAAAUUUUUUCUGCCAUAAACUUCCUAUCUAACACUGGAGAAGACAGGAUUGUUCUUACUGGAAGGGUUGUGUGCAGAAAUCCCCAGGGCUUCUCCUGUAAUUCAGUGGUACCAGACCAUGCCUAAGACCUAUGGCUGUAGGGAGCAGGUAGUGUGGGGGUGCUGGGCCCAGAGAAGCAAGUGUCCCCCUCAAAGUGACUUGAGAGCUACAUGGGAGGGUUUUAUGAAAAGGGAUUGAUCGUGAAAAACAGUGUCCAACUCUUGGGCCCUCUACCUGUACCCUGCCCCCAGUCUAGAACUAAUAGGAACCCACUUCAGUCUUUCCUUAGGAUCUUGCCCCAGAGUAAUCUUGCUCACAUUUCAUUUUUUUCUUUUUUUUAAGUUUUUUAAAUGUUUAUUUUUGAGAGAGAAAGAGACAGAGACAGAGAGACAGAGACAGAGCACGAGCAGGGGAGGGGCAGAGAGAGAGGGAGGCACAGAAUUCGAAGCAGGCUCCAGGUUCUGGGCUGUCAGCGCAGAGCCCAAUGUGGGGCUCGAACCCACGAACCACGUGAUCAUGACCUGAGCUGAAGUCGGACACUUAACCGAGGGAGCCACCCAGGCACCCCUUGUUCUUUUAUUUUUGUUGUGCAGAGGCUGGGGACAGUUUUGUUGGUAACAUGCUGAAUAACUUGCUUUUUAUAAAUAGUUGUAGGAGUACAGACUUUUUUUUCUUGGACUACAGUUGAACCUAGCAGCUCUUUCCCAUUUUAAGAGUAGGAAAAUAUUAUAUCUGGGCUAUCACAUAUUGACUCUGUUGUACUGAUGUAUAAAUGGGGGUGUAAUUCUUUUGCCCUUCCAAACAAAACCCCCAAUUUUGGGACAAGGACUGCCCUUGAAUUUGAGCCAAAUUCUAGUGUAGCAGGAGGGUUUUUCCAGAUAAAAGCUUGGUGUAAAGAUGGAGGAGAAAGGAAUGAGAGAAGAGGACCAUGGGAAAGAGAAAGGAGGAUCUGGGAAAGAAAGAAGAGGACUCUGGGAAGGAGGUGAAGACUGUGGGGAAAAAGAGGAAGACCCUGGGAAGGAGGCGAGGACUAUGGGAAAGAGAGAGGAGGACCCUGGGAAGGAGGCGAGGACCAUGGGGAAGCGAGAAGAAGACCCUGGGAAGGAAGGGAGGACUGUGGGAGAGAGGGAGACCCUAGGAAGGAAGGGAGGACCAUGGGAAAGAGAGAGGAGGACCCUGGGAAGGAGGCGAGGGCCGUGGGAAAGAGAGAGGAAGACCCUGGGAAGGAAGGGAGGACUGUAGGAAAGAGAGAGGAGGACCCUGGGAAGGAGGCGAGGACUGUGGGAAAGAGAGAGGAGGACCCUGGGAAGGAGGUGAGGACGGUGGGGAAGAGAGAGGAGGACCCUGGGAAGGAGGCAAGGACCGUGGGAAAGAGAGAAGAAGACUCUGGGAAGGAAGGGAGGACUGUGGGAGAGAGGGAGACCCUAGGAAGGAAGGGAGGACCAUGGGAAAGAGAAAGGAGGACCCUGGGAAAGAGGGGAGGAUUUGGGAGGAUAGAGGACAUCACUGGGAAGGAGAAAAGACUACGGUGUUGGCACCAGUUUUGAGGGGAGGCCCUAUUUUGAAACCCUUAUUUUGAUGUCCUAUAGGCUUAGUGCUCCCUCAUUCCAAACCACAAAUCCAUAGACUCAGAGAGCUUCCAAGUUGGACUUUGCUCAGGGCUCAAGGCUGGGUUGCCUGCUUAAGCAUUUGUGGGGGCUGGUGGGCCCCAGGACAGGGAAGCACAGCGUAGGAAGAACCCAGGCCGCCUCAGAACCCAUUCUCUUUGCUGCGGGAGUGCUGGGGAGCAGGAGCUCCUCGCUGCCAACCCCGAGGUGAGGUCAUUCCCCGGCCUCUCUCCGCCCUCGUCUGCCUGCUGGGCCUGGGGCUGGGGCUGGGGCCGCCACAGUAGGCUUCCGUGGGCUUUGGCUCAAGAGGAGUGCUGGUGGGAGAUGGCAGGGAGGGUGGGAGGCCAGCCAGGUCAGGGAUUAUCCUGCUGGCUCCCUGCCCCAGGGGAUUGUCCCUCUGCCAGACGAUGGUUGCUCCCAAGUCCCCAUCCUCCAUACUCCUUUCCCUUCAUUCCUGGUUUCUAGCCCCGCCUCCUGCCUCAGAGUUUCACUGUACCUCACCCACUUUGGAAGUCUCCUUCUUGGUCCCGCCUCACAUUACCUACUUCGGGUGUGCCAUCUGUUUCCUUUUUGGAGCCCGACUGCCUCAUCUGGCCACUCUGAAGAUUAAAGGAGGCAGGAUUUAGCACAUGGCUGGCCCCUUUCUGAGUGUGCCCCUGUCCCAUGUCACCCUCUCCCCUGGCCCGAGUGCCUAAUUGCUUGUCGUCUCCCCUCCGCUAGAGCAGUCCCAGUGUGGGAAGUCACACUCUCUGGAGGCACUUGUCCCACCCCAGCCAGAAAGGAUGUGGCCGGGAUGGCUGGGGCUGCGCCAUUUGUGGCUGUCACAUUUGGCAGAAAAAGAAACUUCUAUUCUUUCAGAUGGCUGAAUCUAUUUUCAAGUCUUCACCCACUGGGAAUGUUUUAGGCCUAUUAUUGAAGAUUGAGUAGGUGGAUGCAGUGGAGUUUAACAAUAAUGAAAACUGCCAUAGAGGGUUCGAGAAGCUAAAAGUACAUCUUUAGGUAAUAAUAAUCAUAUUGGCAUAAGUUUGUAGUUUUGAGAGUGGGUUUACAUAUGCAUUAUUUAGCUUGAGAAUAAUUUGUCCCUGAAUUGAAUUGGGUAGUCUUGUGGACUCCCAUUGUUUAUUUGUGUGCCUUUAUACCUCUGUUAACUGCAAUCAGAGAGCUUACCUUAAGUGUUUUCUUGAUUCAUUUAUUAUCGGAUCAUUAAUCAGUGUCCUUAUUGAGCAUGGUCCCCCCAAGUGUUGGAAUUCAGUAUCCAGCCUCAACUCUGUAUUGUCUCAGUUUUUCAAAAGAAAAAUACGAGCCAUUCCCAUCGCCCCCUUGUCAAGAAGAUGCCUGGGCUUUGCCGGCUCUCGGGCCGAGAUUUAUUGGCAGGCAUAAAUGUACCCAGCUAGGGUACAUACAGUCAUGCCCCUUUGGGUUUAUCCUCCUUUUUAUUUUAUUUAGUUAGUUCUUUUUUUUUUAAGAUUUUAUUUUUAAAUAACCUCUACACCCAAUGUGGGGCUUGAACUUACAACCCUGAGAUCAAGAGUCACACGCUCCACCGACUGAGCCAACCAGGCACCCCUUAUUUAGUUAGUUCUUAUUUAUUUACUGUACAUGUGGAAGAAGAAUCCUUUCAAAUCCCCCUUUCCUUUCUUCUCCCUGUUCACUUUUUUUAGAAUCCAUUUUUCUCUAUCCCUCCUCUUUUAAAAAAAUUUAUUCAUUUUUAGGUGAAAUUUGCAUAGAGUAAAAUGCUAGUCAAAACCAUACCUCUUGAUUUUCUUUAUGCACAUAUGCACUCUGUAACCAUCAUCCAGAUCAAUCCUAUUUCUGUCCCUCCAGAAAGUACUAUCAUGCCUUUUCCCAGUCAUUCCCCUCCCCAUAGGUAAUCUAUCAUUAGAGGUGAGGCUAGCAUGCAUUUGAAUUUCAUAUAAAAUGGAAUCAUUAAAUCUGUGUUCUUUUAUAUAUGGCUCCUUUUGCACAACAAAAUGUCGCUGCAUACACCAGUCCUCUGUUCUUGCUGUAUAGUAUCCCAUUUUAUGAAUAUGCCAGAAUUUAUCUGUUCUCCUGUUGACGGACAUUUGGAUUGUUUCCAGUUUGGGUAUUUUAUGAACAAAGGCUCUGAAACAUUGUUGUGUCAGUCUUCUUACAGAUAUAGGCCCUCAUUUCUCUUGUGUAUUUACCCAUGGGAGUGGCAUUGCUGCUCAUUCACUCUCAACGUUUAUAUUAUUUUCCGUUUAUUUUAUUUUUUUACAAUAUUUAUUUUGAGAGAGAGGGAGAGAGAGAGUGAGUGUGAAUGGGGGAGGGGCAGAGAGAGAGGGAGGGAGAGAAUCCCAAGCAGGCUCCAUUCUCAGUAUGGAGCCUGACGCGGGGUUCAGUCUCACAACCAACGUGAUAUCGUGACCUGAGCUGAAAUCAAGAGUCGGAUGCUUAACAGACUUAGCCACCCAAGCACCCCUAUUUUUAUCUGUUUAAAGCUGUGGCCUCUGUGAGCGGAUGGAGGGUGUCAUGCCUAAUGUUGGAACCUUAUUUGUGUCACACUAGCCAACUGAGCUGAUCGAUUGGCCUGAGUCUGGUUGUCUUCACAUAGCUGCCCUAUGAGUAUGAUAGCUGAGGGAGCCUGAAGCCCAGAACUCACCCUCCAGGGACCAUAUGAUUGUCGGGCCCCCCCAAAAUAUCAAUGACUAAUUCUUAAAUUGUUAAAAACACACACAUAGGGCAAGUUUGAUUGUGUCAAAGUUUUAUUGGACUCACUUAAGGAGGGAACUAGCAGAAUCACAAAACUGAUGCAGUCAGUCUAUGAGAAACUGAUCAAAAAGUCAGUGGAGAAAAGGAAAUUCAAAUAAGAUUGCUAAGUUAUAUCCAAAACAGGUUCAUAUUUUAGAGGACACUGAAGUCUUAACCUCUGGGGUUAUCAUCUCUACCAAAAAAGGAAAAAAAAAAAAAAGAAAGCAGCAUACUUUAUCAUUUUUCUGUAUGUUAUCCUGUGACUUUUAUAGGGUUGUAAAAUGCCCUAACAAAGUGUUAGUUAAAUCAGGUUACAUUUCCAGAGAGAAUCAGAUGAUUCUGCUGGGGGGGUGGAACUUUAUGGAAAAUAUAUCACUGUGGCAUCAAAAGGUCACACAAUCAUCCCUUUUUGCCAGAUUUUUGAGUUUUGGAUAUUUUUUUUGGAACAGACCACAAGAGACCAUAAUUUGGGGUGCAGUAAUAGGAGGUACUAGGAUGAAAUCCUCAAAGUCAUUUAUUAAAAAAAAACAAAACAGCUGCCCUUCUGGGACCUGAAACUGCCAUAGAAAACAGAAAGAUAACCGCCUAUUCAAGGCAGAUACGGGCUCUUUCAUAGAAGUUCAUCUUCCUCAUGUUGGAUUUAAUUACCAGGGUCUUUCAGAACCUUACCCCCAGAUCCAGACGACAGUGUAUUUUAGUCCAGCAAAGGAUUCCUAAGCAGCCUUUUUCUGGGUUCUCCUGACAUGUAUUCACAGGUUCACAUUUUUUAAUGGCUAGCCAAAGGAAUUCAAAAAAGAAAAAGCCUCGAAACUGUAGCUUGAGCCCACAAGCAUAUGACCGACUGCUUUGAGAGGGGACCUUUGGUGAAGUGCGGCGGGACGCAGGCCCUUGGUAUUUUGUCCUACACAAAUAGAUGCGUGGAAAGCAGGAAGCUGUGGUAGGGGUUAAAAGAAUAUGCUUGUUGGUUUUGAAAUUGAUCUGAUGCUUUCUGUGUGAGGAAGUGAGCCAUUCUCUCUGCCUGUUUGUACACGCAUUAGGGAAAUGCACACUUUGCUCAAUGCGGCCGGUCCUGGAGCCCGUCCUGGAAGGGUGAGGCGUGUUUACUUGUAGCUUGCAAGUCCGAUGCUGAGCGUAACAAUUUUCAGCUUGGUUUCCCAUUGCCUCAGCCUUCAUUUGCUAGGUGUUUUGGAUCUCUCUCUGGCAUAUGCUGAGUGUGUUGUGUAUUUGUCUGAAGUGGUUGAAGAAUACUGUUGUUUUGUAAUGAGCGAGGUGAAAGGUUAGGAUUUUGCAUAUUUGUACCAUUCUGAGAGAAAGCCCAUUGUUACUUUGCUUGUGGUUAUUUUUAUUUUUUAUUUUUUGUACUAAUGCUGCUUUUAAUGGUGGCACAAUAUAGAAGUACACGGUUUUACUAGCUUGAGCUAAUAGGAGUUUUAAAACAUUCCUUUUUACACUAUCUAGUAGCCUCAUAAUAGAAAUGUAUCUCAGGCUGCCGAGGCUAUGUAAAAGAUACAGGGGAGGAUGGAGAUUAUUUCUUGUUUUCUGUGGGGAGAAAGAAUUAACUGCCAGCCGAGCGCUAUGAUUGUACUUAUUUUGAAAAAAAAAAAAAAACAACAAAAAAACCCGGCUUUGUUUUGGCAAUUUUCAUCUUCCAUUUCUUUUAGUUGGUGGGAAAUAAAAGGAAAUUUGCUUUCUCAAGUUUGACAUUUUCUUGUUAAUACACCUUUUGUUUCAGUAAGUCUGUGGGAAUCCUCCUGGAUAUUUCUGAAUUUUGUUGUGUACACGUGUGCUUGAGCCCAAACAGCUUAUCUUCGUAUAGCAUUUAGUUGUUGUUUGCUUUCUUGUUAGACAAAAUAUUAACAAUGUACCCUUUCCAUCUUCCCUGACAUCAAAUCCGUUAAGAUCCGAAAUCCUGUCAAACAUCUGUUUUGAAAACUUGGGGGAUGGUAGUAAAAAAAAGUUCUUGCACAAACUAUCCCCUCUGUAAGCAUGGGCCUGUGCUGGAACUUUCCCAGAACUCUACAUUUCUACCUCAAGUUAUUGACCUUUAAGUUCUAUCCGUAUGAGAGGAACAGAUCAUGGAAAGGAGGUAUGUACGUUUACCCUCUUCCUAUGAUAGCCCUCAUCUUCAAAUUUUAGUUCUGUGACAGAAUAAGAUUUGAAUUCUGUCCCCUCUGUCCUUUUCAAAUCUUGCCAAAGAGCCCAGUCCCCUCUCUAGACCCGUGCGUGCCUCUCAGGUCUGCUUGUGUGUGCUGUGUGGUCGAGCGCAGUGGAGUGGGGGCCCGGGGACUCGGGUAGACCCCCAAGACACUUUCCUCUGUUCCUGGGCUUGCGCUGGCAGCUGCCCCCCCUCCCCCCGCCCCACAGUCUCCAGAACAGAUGACCUGACGUGUCAUGGCUCCUUGUUCACACGGCUCGUCAGUGAGGAAGACUUGUCUACACCUUCAUUAUUCAAACUUUGUUAGCUCUCUGGUAUCAUUAGGUAACACGGAAACACAUCCAUCUCUCUCCAAAUAUAUACAACUGCAUCAUUUCUUCUCACAGUGCCUCCGCUCAUUUGUUUCUGAGUCACAACAGCCUUUCCAUUUUCAGUGGUAGCAUGUGGCCCCCUAGUUACUGUUAGGGAUUACUUCGAACAUAAAGUGAAUCCUUGUCCACUGGUUUCACAAUACUUGUGACUGUAGAGGUCAGUUCAGAUAGCUUUCGCUCUGUCAGCACCUUAAUGGUUGACCCACAAGGUGGAAUCCUCAGUGAGAUCAUGGAAGCUGCUGAUGAAACAGGUCUGUGAGUAAGGCAGACGUCACUGCGUAUUUGUCCACUGUCAGAGCUACACGGUGUUUACUGCAAAGUCUGAGAUGUGGGCUCUGCAAGAACAAUGGUAACAAGUUAUCUGGGUCAACGAGAGAGAAAGACCUUCUCUCUGGAAAUACGACAGCGGGGGCAGGUGUUGGGGGGAUGCUUCACUUAGUCUGACUCGGAUCUGAUUGCUCUCCUGUUACAAAGGAGAGUACUUGCGGCAGGACGUACUACUGAGAGGUCGUGUGGCAGUUAAGUGCUGUGCAGGACUGAAGUAAGCUUCCUGUAUUUUGGACACAAACUUGUGUUUUGUAGAUCUGGUGACCGUGUGGUUUAAACUGCUUUCUGGCCCACGGGCGUUGUCUGGGGGACGCUACUAGCGUCGCACUUGCUGCUCGAAGACUCUGUGCCCCGGGAAUCGUGAAAGAUGGGGUUUCUGCUCCUCAUUCUGGUUGGGGCGGGGGCGGGGGCAGGAAGGUAAGAUGUGGCUUUCUUCCUCGCCAUUCCUCCUGCUUUUCUUGGGCAGGGGCACUUGUUCAUGGUAGCCAGUGGAGGCGGACGACAUGGUGCCGCUCCUCAAGAAGAGGGAACAGAGGGUGUUGUGUUUGGGGGGGGCACGGUGCCCACCCCCUCGGGCCUGGGCUUUUGCUGCUGCUUGGGUGGAUGCUAUUGGCCGCGAGUGCCCCUCGGUGGGACUGUUACUUAUUUAAAAAAGAAUCACAAAUUUACUUCAACAAAUGGCGUAGAGAUUUCCAAGUUACUAUUCUACAUUCAGAGACCCUGAAGUGGAUCUCUCUCCUCAUAUUUCACUUUUUAAAAAAACUACCAACACAAAGGCCAUUAAUUUUGCGCCUGAUAUGGAAUAUCAUUUUUAAGACACUUAAUGUCUCUGCAAAAGGUAGCAGGAAUCUCCUGGGUGUGUUACAUAAUGUGCUCACGCUAUCUAGUCGCAAUGUGUUCUGCCGUACUCGCAGAGGGAGCGCCUACUGGUGUCUAUGUGCUGGCACCAAGGGCUAUAAGGCACAAAUGAGACACGUUACGUGGAAUAUUGUAUUGUCAUAAAUGUAGCUUCUUCCACAGGAUGACAGUUGUAGCUCCUGUGACCUGGCCUUUUGGUCAUUCUGUCCUCUGGAGAGCAGAUGUUAGACAUUGUUCUGCAAAGAUGUAACCGAUUAGGAUGCCACUUGGGAAGCUUUUGACGGGAUUCAUCAGGCGACUCUGUUAGAAUGUGUUAAAUGAACCCACGGGCAUCUCGUGGCCCUGAUUGCUGUGUUACUUUUUGGAAUAAUAAUGGCUACGUUCUCUUCCAGGCUUACUGGCUGCCUGGCACUGUGUCUGUCUGUGUACAAUGACUAACAUUUGUUGAGCACCUACUGUGUGCCAGGCGGAAAGGAGGCUAAGCCCUUCAUAUUUUUUAUCCCAUGAAAUGCUUACACCACUCUAUGGCAUUGGUACUGUCCUUUCUUAGCAUGCCUGUUUUUCAGAAGAGGUAACCGAGGCAUGGGCGUCUUAAGGUUAAAAAACUCAUCCAUGGUCACACAAGCUAGGGUGGUGCAGAGAGUGCAUGGGAACGCAGGCAGGCUGGCUCUAGAACCUGAGCUCAAGCCCACAGCAUUAUCUGGGUGUCUGCAUUGUCCUGAUGGGAGCAAGCCCCUCCACGUUACCGCCUGCUGCGUUGUGCCUCCCCAGCGUGCCCACUCCACAUCUUGCGUAUCUGCACCGCUCUGAGAUAAAGCUCAUCAUUAUUUUGCUAUUCUUGAUUUAAGAAAGAAUCACAAAUUUACUUCCAUAAGUGACAUAAAAUAGAGAUUUCCAGGUUGCUGUUCUGUAUUCAGAAUCGUGCUUGUUUUGUUUUCUGAUUUUUAAAGGAUCCUUUCCAGAAAUCAGCGAUUUCAAUGCAAAGGAGCAAGCACUGCCUGGAGUUUUGGGCUUGUGCUGUUUUUCCUACAAAUUGUGAAAGCAAGGCAAUUUGGGAAAAUAUUUCCUUUUACUAAUUAGUAAGGAAACUUGUUAUUUUGUAACGUUCAGACAUGCUUUUCAGAAGGAGUGUGGCUGUCUUUUCUAUCAGUGAUCAAUAAUCCAGGUGCUUGACUAUCCGGUUGUUCCUCAUCUGUGGGGUCCUUGGCCAAUUCCUGCUCAGCAACCAAUUCCUGCUCAAAUUAUUCUUUACAAUUUAAAUAACAUCGUUUUCCUUUGGAAAACAAAAUCCUAACAACUAGAACCUGUUAAAUGCUAUUGUGAGAAAUGUUAACACCAAGAAGGGUCUGGAGUAAUUGAGGACAAAUGGGUCCACCAGUAAGACCCCACACCAUUUGGCAGAUACCUCAGACUUGGUCAGUGUUGCGGCACAGGAAGAAUGUGGGGGGAUGUCUUGUGACUCGGGGAGAGCAGUCCCCUGACCCAGUUGAUCUUGGUGAUUAUCCAUAAUGGAGUCCUGUUUUCUUAAUGACAGGAUUAUUGAAUCUGAGCUUAGAAAGCGACUUUAAGAUCAUGUGUUUCAACCCCCAGUUUCCUAGCAGAUUGAAAUCUAAACCAUCUAGGAUGUCGCCGUGGUCAUCACUGGAUAUUUACACUUGUGACAUGUGGGGUCCUACAGGGGACUCCUUGCCAGUGAGUCUCCAGCCUGGCCCUGCCCCAGGCAAGCUGCAUCGCCAGCAUUUUGGAGUUGGGGAAGGAGUUGGGACAGGGGUCUUAGGAUAUUUUUAAAACUUCAGGGGAUCCUGCUGCUUCAUAAAGCUUGGGCAUGCCUUUUGUGCAAUGGUACCGAUAGGUAGCAUCACCCUUUUUAAUCUAAUAUCUUUUCCCAGGCACACACAUGGGUUGGUAGCCUGUGAACUGUAGUUCUACAUUCAACAAUAUUAAAAUGUUAUUUCUUUUUUUUAACUUAGAAAAUAUUUUUUAAUGUUUAUUUAUUUUUGAGAGAGAAACAGACAGAACAUGAGUGGGGGAGAGGCAGAGAGGGAGACACAGAAUCCAAAGCAGGCUCCAGUCUCUGAGCUGUCAGCACAGAGCCCGAGGCAGGGCUCGAACUCAUGAACUGUAAGAUCAUGACCUGAGCUGAAGUCGGACACUUCGCCGACUGAACCACCCAGGCGCCCCUAUAAUGUUCUUUCUAAAGUAGCUUUUGAAUAUGUGUGUAUAUAUACAUACCUACAUAUGUAUAUAUAUGAAAACAUAAUCAUGCUGGAAAUUAUAAAAAGAAAUGUUUACCACAAAUACACAAAUAGUAUAGCAAGAUAGUGUAAACAUAUUGCUCAAUUCAAGUCCAUUAGAAUUAAUAUGUUCUUUAAAAAAAAUUUUUUUUUUAAUGUUUAUUCCUGAGACAGAGAGAGACAGAGCAUGAGUGGGGGAGGGGCAGAGAGAGCGGGAGACACAGAAUCAGAAGCAGGCUCCAGGCUCUGAGCUGUCAGCACAGAACCCAUCAUGGGGCUUGAACUCAUGAACUACGAGAUCAUGACCUGAGCUGAAGUUGGAUACUUAACCGACUGAGCCACCCAGGUGCCCCUAGAAUUAAUACGUUCUAAUUGCAGAACCUCUGGACCAAAUAAUGAGCUCUAUCCUGCCCUCUCCCCAGUGGUAGUGAGGUGAGCAGAAUUUCUAAGCUUCCACUCAUUAUUGGAAUCCCCAAGAUUCCACUCCCAAAUACGCAGAGCCUGAGAAUGUGAUGUGCUAUCAUUCUAGUGAUUGUGUUAUGUUAUAUGACACAGUUGACUUUCCAAAAGGGAGGUAUCAUGGUGGGCCUAAUCUUAUCGCAUGAGCCCUUAAAAGCAAAGAACUUUCUCUGCCUAGUGGCCAAAAAAGAAGUCCUAGAAAUUCAGAGCUUGAGGAGGGACUGGCUGCUUUGAAGAUGGAGGUGUCAUGUGAGAAGGAAUACAGGCAACUUUGCUGGAGGAGAGAGCAGACCCAGGCUGGCAGCCAGCAAGGAAACGGAGACUGCAGACCUCCUGCUUCAAGGAAUCGGAUUCUGCCAGCAACUUGAGUGAGUUUGGAAGUGGAUUAUUCUUCCAAGUCCCUGGAUAAGAGUCCAGCCUGGUUGACAUCUUGAUAUCAGCCUUGAGAGCUGCUGGGCAGACUAUCCAGGUGAGGCUGCCUGGACUUCUGACCUACACAACUGUGAGAUAAUGAAUGUGUGUUGUCUUAAGCCCUGAGGUCUUUGGCUUAAAGACAGCAAAUGGCCUGGGGCAGUGCUCUUCUUUCCUACUGGCAGGUUGUCAGUUGAUACUGAGUAGGGAGUCUGGAAUUUUGCGUCCUGCCUGGUGGCACCAGGCGACCCAUUGCAGCUCUCCCCUCAUCCGCUGGCAUGUUGUCAGUGGAGGCCAGAUGGGGAGUCUGGCCUUUGACUCCCCCAGCCCCCAGCACAGAAGCAGUAAGUGGCCCCCAUCACCCACCCUACUAGAGUUGGGAAGAUCUUGGAGAGGAGGGAGCUGGAGAGAGGGAUUCCUUAAACCUGUAUAGGAAGUCUUGGGCAAACUCCUGACCGACCCAUACGUGAAUUUGACUAGAAUUAACAUACCGAAAAGUUUGAGAAGAGAAACUACAGUGUGGAAAACCACUUAGUUUUCAGAGUGACCUCUAGGUAACACAAAUGAAGAAGACCUGAAUAGCAGUGCAAGGGCUCUGUGAACUGAACAAUCAUUGGCAUUACAGCCUGCCAAAGUGGCCCAGGACCUGCAUGCUUCAUCUAAAUAGGAUUCAGAAUCUUGUAAUAUAAUAACCCAAAUGCCUAGGAUACAAUAAAAAGUCACAUGUCCCAUCAAGAACUGGGAAAACCACAACUUAAAUGAUUUAUUCCUAGGUAUUUUGUGGUUUUUUGGGCAACUGUAAGUGGGGUUGAUUCCUUGAUUUCUCUUUCUGUUGCUUCAUUGUUGGUGUAUAGGAAUGCAGCCGAUUUCUGUCCAUUGAUUUUAUAUCCUGCAACUUUGCUGAAUUCAUGAAUCAAUUCUAGCAGUUUUUUGGUGAAAUCUUUAGGGUUUUCCAUAUAGAGUAUCAUGUCAUCUGCGAAGAGUGAAAGUUUGACCUCCUCCUGGCCGAUUUGGAUGCCUUUUCAUCUUUCUUUUUAAAAAAAAUUUUUUUUAAAUUUACAUCCAAAGUAGUUCGCAUAUAGUGCGACAAUGAUUUCAGGAGUAGAUUCCUUAGUGCCCCUUCCGCAUUUAGCCCAUCCCCCCUCCCACGACCCCUCCAGCAACCCUCAGUUUGUUCUCCAUAUUAUGAGUCUCUUCUGUUUUGUCCCCCUCCCUGUUUUUAUAUUAUUUUUAUUUCCCUUCCCUUAUGUUCAUCUGUUUUGUCUCUUAAAGUCCUCAUAUGAGUGAAGUCAUAUGAUUCUUAUCUUUCUCUGACUAAUUUCACUUAGCACAGUACCCUCCAGUUCCAUCCACAUAGUUGCAAAUGGCGAGAUUUCAUUCUUUUUGAUUGCCGAGUAAUACUCCAUUGUGUGUGUGUGUGUGUAUAUAUAUAUAUACACCACAUCUUCUUUAUCCAUUCAUCCAUCGAUGGCCAUUUAGGCUCUUUCCAUACUUUGGCUAUUGUGGAUAGUGCUGCUAUAAACACUGGGGUGCAUGUGUCCCUUCAAAACAGCACACCUGUAUCCCUUGGAUAAAUGCCUAGUAGUGCAAUUGCUGGGUCAUAGGGUAGUUCUAUUUUUAGUUUUUUGAGGAACCUCCAUACUGUUUUCCGGAGUGGCUGCACCAGCUUGCAUUCCCAAAACCACGACUUAAAUGAAAAGGCAAUCAACAGAUAACAACACUGGGAAGACUCAAAUGUUGGAAUUACCUGACAGAUUUUGAUGCAACCAUCAUAAAAGAUGCCUUAAUGGGGGUGCCUGGGCGGCUCAGUCAGUUGAGUUGCCGACUCUUGAUUUUGGCUCAGCUCAUGAUCACACAGUUGGUGGGAUUGAGCUCUAAGUCAGGCUCUGCACAGUGCCUGCUUGGGAUUCUCUCUCUCUGCCCCUCUCCAUUGCAUGUGCGCUCUCUCUCUCUCUCUCUCUCUCUGUC